rnacentral:rRNA from 1 species
AUUGAACGCUGGCGGAAUGCUUUACACAUGCAAGUCGAGCGGCAGCGCGGCCUUCGGGCUGGCGGCGAGCGGCGAACGGGUGAGUAAUGCAUCGGAACAUGCCCAGUCGUGGGGGAUAACACUUCGAAAGAAGUGCUAAUACCGCAUACGUCCUGAGGGGGAAAGCGGGGGAUCGCAAGACCUCGCGCGAUUGGAGUGGCCGAUGUCAGAUUAGCUAGUUGGUGGGGUAAAGGCCUACCAAGGCGACGAUCUGUAGCUGGUCUGAGAGGAUGAUCAGCCACACUGGGACUGAGACACGGCCCAGACUCCUACGGGAGGCAGCAGUGGGGAAUUUUGGACAAUGGGGGCAACCCUGAUCCAGCCAUUCCACGUGAGUGAAGAAGGCCUUCGGGUUGUAAAGCUCUUUCGGCAGGAACGAAACGGUGGGCUCUAACAUAGUCCGCUAAUGACGGUACCUGAAGAAGAAGCACCGGCUAACUACGUG